UACGUAGGGUGCAAGCGUUGUCCGGAAUUAUUGGGCGUAAAGGGCUCGUAGGCGGUUUGUCACGUCGGGAGUGAAAACUCGGGGCUUAACCCCGAGCCUGCUUCCGAUACGGGCUGACUAGAGGUAUGCAGGGGAGAACGGAAUUCCUGGUGUAGCGGUGAAAUGCGCAGAUAUCAGGAGGAACACCGGUGGCGAAGGCGGUUCUCUGGGCAUUACCUGACGCUGAGGAGCGAAAGUGUGGGGAGCGAACAGG
rnacentral:rRNA from 1 species